rnacentral:rRNA from 1 species
UACGGGGGGUGCGAGCGUUGUCCGGAAUCAUUGGGCGUAAAGCGCGCGUAGGUGGCCUCAUAAGUCCGCUGUGAAAGUCAAAGGCUCAACCUUUGAAAGCCGGUGGAUACUGUGAGGCUAGAGUACGGAAGAGGCGAGUGGAAUUCCUGGUGUAGCGGUGGAAUGCGCAGAUAUCAGGAGGAACACCAAUAGCGAAGGCAGCUCGCUGGGACGUUACUGACACUGAGGCGCGAAAGCGUGGGGAGCGAACGGG